CUGGCACAAGGUUCCUAGGAAGCAUUAAAGGAGAAGGCAUCAGGAAGCUAUUUCUACUGCUUCCCCAGCCUCUGCUUAGCCUACCAACACCAUGCAAGCAGCCAUUCAAGCUUCUUGCUGUUACUCUGGUUCCUCCUGUCUCUCCUGUUAGCACGUGUCACAAGGAUGUACGCCAGGGAACUGCCACUUGGCCACUUCCAACUCUCAUCAUCGGGCUCUCACAAAGAUACUCACACUUUACCUCUUGUUAAAGCCCAGCUAGUACUUAAAAGGACCCCAGUAAAUUACUUCUUUCAACAGUUCUUGAAACCAAUAAAAAAAGAAUGUGUCAAAAUGUCUGACAACACUAACCACCAAGAGACAGAUGAAACUGCAGAUACAAGCCAGUGUUAUACAUCACUAAGCAGGCCUGCUUUGAGAGUAUGUGUGUCUGGGGAACUCAGCUUGCUGUAAUUCCAUAAACAUUCGUCUUCCCUGCAGAAUCAUGAGGCCGAAGGGAAUCAAUCAGAGUUUCACAGCUGCGCACUUCCUGACUCAAGCACAUUUGACCUGCAAGUCCUAAUGAUGCAUAGCCCAAAGUGAUGUGACCUUUUUGACUAGAUCUCAGGGUCCCAGUAUAACAAAAAUGACAAAAAAGAUAGCUAUGAAACUAAAUAAAGAGCUCAAAGUUAAAAUUUCUCUUUUAAGAUCAAUGAAAAGGUUUUAUUUGAAGAAGUUAUUGCCCAUUUCUGUGAAUAAUGAGGCUGCUGCCAGAAACCUAAGAGAUAUGUCCCCCCAGGCCAUGGUAUAGAACUAAAACCAAGUGAAAGAGACUACAACAUAUUAAUUAGUCAGUGGACUUCCAGCUUCUCAUUAACAGUCUCCACUGAAGUUUCAGUAAUUCCUAAGCAUUCCAUAAUAAAAUAGAACCCACUCCAAGGAUCCAAGCAUCAACAGAUUAAUUCAGUGAACUUCUGACCCUAGUGUGAGGAUUGAGUUCUAAUCCUAAAUCUAAGGAAGAUUAAGGAGGAAAAUUCCAUAAACACACAAAGGCCAAGACAAAACCAAUCAACCAACCAACCAACCAAAAAACAACAAGGCAAGGCAAAUUUUUUAUCAUAGGUUGUUGCA